GACGAACGCUGGCGGCGUGCUUAACACAUGCAAGUCGAGCGGUAAGGCCCUUUCGGGGGUACACGAGCGGCGAACGGGUGAGUAACACGUGGGUGACCUGCCCUCAGCUCUGGGAUAAGCCUGGGAAACUGGGUCUAAUACCGGAUAUGACCCCAUGACGCAUGUCGUGGGGUGGAAAGCCUUGUGCGGCUGAGGAUGGGCCCGCGGCCUAUCAGCUUGUUGGUGGGGUGAUGGCCCACCAAGGCGACGACGGGUAGCCGGCCUGAGAGGGCGACCGGCCACACUGGGACUGAGACACGGCCCAGACUCCUACGGGAGGCAGCAGUGGGGAAUCUUGCGCAAUGGGCGAAAGCCUGACGCAGCGACGCCGCGUGAGGGAUGACGGCCU
rnacentral:rRNA from 1 species